rnacentral:lncRNA from 1 species
UGUGAUACGCGUGUGUGUUGUGUUUGCGUGUGCGUGAUUUAUGUGUGUGUGUGUGAUGUGUGUGUGUGUGUGCGUGAUGUGUUUGUAAUGUGUGUGUUUCAUAUGUGUGUGUGUGUGUGAUAUGUGGGUAAUGUGUGUGUGUGUGUGUAAUAUGUGUGUGUGUGUGUGUGAUGUGUGUGUGUGUGUGAUGUGUGUGAUGUAUGUGUGAUGUGUGUGAUGUGUGUGUGUGAGAGAAGUGUGUGUGUGUGUGUGUGUGUGUGAUGUGU